rnacentral:misc_RNA from 1 species
GUAGGUGCGAAAACGCACGUUCGCCUACCCAAACCCACAGUAGCGACUCUAAACCCUACUGUUCAGUCGGCCGAGAUCCCUCGGUUGGCGACGCCGUCAAUCUGGCCUGGGAGCACCUUUGGGUGCAACCAGCAGCUCGUUCAAGAGUUCACAGAUCAAACGAUAGCGGCCACGCACUCGUGGUUUAGAUAUGAUCGGCCCCGGCUCUCAUCAGCCGGCGACACACCGCGGAACCUGCGGAAGGAUCAUUACUGAGAGGGGUUUUCGGACCCCGGGGGCUCCGGCCCCCAACUCAUCACCCUUUGUCUAUCUACCUUUGUUGCUUUGGCGGGCCUUGGGGUUCGCCCCAUGGCGGCUCCGGGCUUUGUUGCCUCGGUCGUCUCGUGUUCGUCAGAGACCCAUCAAACUCCUUUUAUCAGUAUCGUCCGAGUAAAAACACAAUAGUAAAAAACUUUCAACAACGGAUCUCUUGGUUCUG